rnacentral:rRNA from 1 species
GAAGCUGAGAAUUUAAGCCCCAGUAAACGGCGGUGGUAACUAUAACCAUCCUAAGGUAGCGAAAUUCCUUGUCGGGUAAGUUCCGACCUGCACGAAUGGCGUAACGACUUCUCCACUGUCUCAACCGCGAACUCGGCGAAAUUGCAUUACGAGUAAAGAUGCUCGUUACGCGCAGCAGGACGGAAAGACCCCGGGACCUUUACUAUAGUUUGGUAUUGGUGUUCGGAACGGCUUGUGUAGGAUAGGUGGGAGACUGAGAAGCUGGCACGCUAGUGUUGGUGGAGUCGUUGGUGAAAUACCACUCUGGUCGUUUUGGAUUCCUCACUUCGAACCAUGAUCUGGUUCAGGGACAGUGCCUGAUGGGUAGUUUAACUGGGGCGGUUGCCUCCUAAAGAGUAACGGAGGCGCUCAAAGGUUCCCUCAGCCUGGUUGGCAAUCAGGUGUUGAGUGUAAGUGCACAAGGGAGCUUGACUGCGAGACAGACAUGUCGGGCAGGAGCGAAAGCUGGAACUAGUGACCCGGCACCUCAUUGUGGAAUGGGUGUCGCUCAACGGAUAAAAGGUACCCCGGGGAUAACAGGCUGAUCUUGCCCAAGAGCUCAUAUCGACGGCAUGGUUUGGCACCUCGAUGUCGGCUCGUCGCAUCCUGGGGCUGGAGUUGGUCCCAAGGGUUAGGCUGUUCGCCUAUUAAAGCGGUACGCGAGCUGGGUUUAGAACGUCGUGAGACAGUUCGGUCCCUAUCCGCUGCGCGCGUUGGAUAUUUGAGAAGGCCUGUCCCUAGUACGAGAGGACCGGGAUGGACUAACCUCUGGUGUGCCAGUUGUUCUGCCAAGGGCAUGGCUGGUUGGCUACGUUGGGAAGGGAUAACCGCUGAAAGCAUCUAAGCGGGAAGCCUGCUUCGAGAUGAGAUAUCCGUACAUUUUGUGUGUGGGAGGUCCCCUGUAGAUGACGGGGUUGAUAGGCCAGAUGUGGAAGCGCGGUAACGUGUGGAGCUGACUGGUACUAAUUGGCCGAUGACUUACUUGC